AUUGAACGCUGGCGGCAUGCCUUACACAUGCAAGUCGAACGGCAGCACGGGAGCUUGCUCCUGGUGGCGAGUGGCGAACGGGUGAGUAAUGCAUCGGAACGUGCCCUGAAGUGGGGGAUAACGUAGCGAAAGUUACGCUAAUACCGCAUAUUCUGUGAGCAGGAAAGCAGGGGAUCUUCGGACCUUGCGCUUUUGGAGCGGCCGAUGUCGGAUUAGCUAGUUGGUGGGGUAAAGGCCCACCAAGGCGACGAUCCGUAGCGGGUCUGAGAGGAUGAUCCGCCACACUGGAACUGAGACACGGCCCAGACUCCUACGGGAGGCAGCAGUGGGGAAUUUUGGACAAUGGGCGCAAGCCUGAUCCAGCCAUGCCGCGUGAGUGAAGAAGGCCU
rnacentral:rRNA from 1 species